rnacentral:rRNA from 1 species
GAUGAACGCUGGCGGCGUGCCUAAUACAUGCAAGUCGAGCGAAUGGAUUAAGAGCUUGCUCUUAUGAAGUUAGCGGCGGACGGGUGAGUAACACGUGGGUAACCUGCCCAUAAGACUGGGAUAACUCCGGGAAACCGGGGCUAAUACCGGAUAACAUUUUGAACCGCAUGGUUCGACAUUGAAAGGCGGCUUCGGCUGUCACUUAUUGAUGGACCCGGGUCGCAUUAGCUAGUUGGUGAGGUAACGGCUCAACAAGGCAACGAGUGCGUAGCCGACCUGAGAGGGUGAUCGGCCACACUGGGACUGAGACACGGCCCAGACUCCUACGGGAGGCAGCAGUAGGGAAUCUUCCGCAAUGGACGAAAGUCUGACGGAGCAACGCCGCGUGAGUGAUGAAGGCUUUCGGGUCGUAAAACUCUGUUGUUAGAGAAGAACAAGUGCUAGUUGAAUAAGCUGGCACCUUGACGGUACCUAACCAGAAAGCCACGGCUAACUACGUGCCAGCAGCCGCGGUAA